CAGAAUUCGCGACAGACAGUCGGGCCUCGUCUUCGACAAGACGAGAGGUGGCAACGAGGCACCUCCACUCUUCAAAGAAUUCAUCAAUUCCUCCUCCAUCCUUUCCCCAUCGUUCCUCGCCUCAAUUUUAAGAAAAAGAAAGCUCGUUCCUCGAGAAACAAAUCGUUUAACCGCUUUUCUCGAAAGCAGAAGAACGAAAAAAAGGAAGAAACACGACCUCCUCCCGUACCCAAUCUCAUACCCUCCUCAUCCCUCAAACGAAGACAUUCCACACUGCGAAAUCGUAAAUACACAAAGCCAAUUCCUCCCCGCUUUAUCGUUGGAGUGCAAUCGCGAAACGAUCUCGGAUCGAUACGGCGAGCAGCAGGCCGAGUGGGACGGGAACGAAGAAAAAGAAAUCUCGCGCGCUUGGGCAAAGAAGAGGAAAAAGCAAAACGAGGCGUAUUCGAUUCUACUCGGCCAUUAGGGCACAGCACACAACAUCCACGAGAGCCCCAUUCCUGGAGCCAGGCCUGGUUGCGGUUUCGCGAUCGAGGAGCGGUGGAUCCACGCCGAUCAGAAUCUCGUUCCAACGAUAUCGUAUUCGUUUCGUGAAGCCUGCGUUAUCCGCCAUUCUUUCCCCUUCGAUAUUCCAUUCCGUUCUCAAUUUCAAAGGCUGGCGAUCGUCCGACUUGCAGUAUGGAAUCGAGCUCGAAGGAACGAUAGAUCACGCGGCUACGUUCCCUGGAUCGAGGGACGACUUCGUGAUCCCGAGGAUGACGAGAUCCAACGCUGUUAUGAGGGUCCCGAAGUGGGCUUGUUACGCGGUCGAGUUAUGGAGUCGCGUUACGUGAGAGAGAUUUGGAGUAUAUUGGUUGAAUAUAUGAGGAGAACGGUUGGAUGAU